rnacentral:rRNA from 1 species
GAUGAACGCUAGCGGCAGGCCUAAUACAUGCAAGUCGAACGAGAUUAAGGAGCUUGCUUCUUAUGAAAGUGGCGCACGGGUGCGUAACGCGUAUGCAACCUACCUUAAUCAGGGGGAUAGCUCGAAGAAAUUCGGAUUAACACCGCAUAAAAACACAGGAUAGCAUUAUCCAAUGUUCAAAUAUUUAUAGGAUUAAGAUGGGCAUGCGUGUCAUUAGCUAGUUGGCGGGGUAACGGCCUACCAAGGCGACGAUGACUAGGGGAUCUGAGAGGAUGACCCCCCACACUGGUACUGAGACACGGACCAGACUCCUACGGGAGGCAGCAGUAAGGAAUAUUGGUCAAUGGAGGCAACUCUGAACCAGCCAUGCCGCGAGCAGGAAGACUGCCCUAUGGGUCGUAAACUGCUUUUAUCCGGGAAUAAACCUUUUUACGUGUAAGAAGCUGAAUGUACCGGAAGAAUAAGGAUCGGCUAACUCCGUGCCAGCCGCCGCCGUAAGAC